UUGUAGCUACAAUUUCAAUCCAUUUUGUUAUGUAAUCUGUUGCUGCUAGUAUAUACCAUUUUUAUCCAUUUCUCGAGGUUGGUGCAAUUGGUCCCACAAAAUCAAUUCUCCAUUUUUCAAAAGGCGCUUGAGCCAAAAUUGGUACCAAUGGCAUUGUUGAAGUUCCAAUAGGUUGAUCCGUUGUCGUGUUGUGGUUCGGCUACUAUAUGAAAAUAAUAUAAUUAUGUACUUAAUAUAUAAUUUAUUAAGUAACAUGGUGAAAGCCAUGUUAGUAGAUUUUAGUUGAUUAUAGAAUAUAAUUUGAUUAUUACUUUGAGAAGAGGUUGUUUAAAACGAUUACUAUAGAAUUUGUAUAACUUUAAUUUCCUUUUGAUAGUGGCUUUUAAGA
rnacentral:lncRNA from 1 species